GCUGAUCCUCCUUACGCCUGAAGCCCAGAUAGCCUUAGAAGAAAUAGGCUUAAAACCCGUUGGGAGGUUUAACCUGAAAGCGUGUCAGAGUCGCCCACCUGGGUGGGGCACAGGCUGAUUUCAUUUGGACACGUGUGGACCACUUCUGGAAGGCUCAGCCCUCUGCCACAGGUUUUACCAACGGACUCCACACGGAGUGAAUUCCCUCGGGGUCUGACCAGCUGAGGACACAGCUGAACCGGGCCUGGGCUGCUGGCAGAGGUGAUGGGAUGGAGAGGCCGGGGGGCUGAUGCCACCUGACAGUCCCUCUGCAUAUUUCACAGCUUUUCUUCGUGUUUGGUGUCGUUAUUUUUGCAAAUACGGUUUUUAAAAAGGAGGCUAUUAUUUUUUCAUGUGCUUUAAUAUAUGUUUGUGAAAAUUUUUCAUCUUCAGAUUUAGUUCCUCGUGGACAAUAUCCAGCACAGAACUUAGAGGCAGAGACUCCUCAGACCAAUCAGCCAAAUCAGCCAAUUCCUCUCAGAAAAACCCUGACUUCAUUUUUGAACUCGAAUAAGUUUCCUUGCAUCCCUGUGACAACUGUCUCACUUCUGAAUCCCGAUUCUUGCAGAGAAUCAUAAGACCUUCAUCUGACCUUGUCGCCUGGGUGAAAAGAGUGUGCGCUUGGAGGACAGACCCUCCCGAGGUGAAGCUGCCCUGACGCCUGCAGGCUGCAGGCUCCUGUCCCACACAGAUUCCCUGCCCUGAGCUUCUGAAGACGGGACCGGCCUCAGCCCGUAAAACGCUGUCUGUUCUAUGAUCAAAUAGACCAAAACCUCCAGUUAUAAAGGUUACAAUCUGCUCCUUGAACAACUGUCAGCCGCGAUGGGACCAGAGAUGCCGAGAUGAUGGGAUGGACGGGAUGGGAUUCUGCAUUCUCAGACUUCCUCCUUCCUCCUCCCCAGGACCCCUGCUCUGAAAAAUCAUCCUUGGCAUCACGUACGUGAGAAGUCCCAUCCUCCCGCGUGCUAUGUGAUACCAGGCAGGGCGAAAUCCCUGAGCCCUGGUCGGAACAGCUCUCAGAAAAACAUCUGCGUGGAUUUGCUGGCUUUCCUUAAACAAGGGCCAGCUCAGCUCCUCCAGGGCCGUGUGCAGCAAAGCUGAUGACAGGCUCUGCAAGGAAAAUACAAGAAGUUCUCCCUCUGUUACAAGGGGCUCUAUCCGUCCAGACCAGGCUGCAGAGCAUCCUCUGGGGGUAACAGCAGUUCAGGAGAGUGAGGCUGGACCACAUUUGGAGGACAAGAGGUCCCCUCCAUCCCAGCCAUCCCAGAUGGGUGAGCAAGGCCCUCCUAGAUCACCUGGCACUAAUGAGCCAGCCCCAAACAGAAGAACCGACUGGCCCAUUGCAGAAUCGUGAGAGGCAACAGCUUCCACUCCCACAGCAUCUAACUAACCCUGACAUGGAGCAAAUGACCAGCAGUGUUUGUAGGGUGAAUCGGUGAAGGAGGGGCAGCGUGGAGCCAUGAGUGAGGACACAGAUUUUAGAAUUCCUGGGUGAAAACCCCAGUUCUGCUGCUUACUGACGGAGUCUCCCUAGGACAGUUGUUAAGUCAUUUUAUUUUGCCUCGGUUUUUUCAUCUAUAAAAGGGGGGAAAUAGCAGAAUCUACAUCGUGAGGUUGUUAUAAGGAUUAAAUGAAUUGGCAGUUGUUGUUUGUGAAAUAAAUAAAUGAGAGGCGCCCACUGCUGCCUCUAGUCCGUCCAGCCAAGGCCACACUCAGCGGCAGCUCCAUUCUCCACGUCCGCCAAAGGUCCUCUUUUUUUAAAAUAUUAAACAAUCAAUCAAUUAAUUGAUCUUUAAAACUUGAGAUAUAAUUGACAUAUAAUAUUAUAUAAGUUUAAGGUAUACAACAUGUUGGUUUGAUGUAUUUAUAUGUUGAGACAUGAUUAUCACCACAGUGUGAUAUGUUUCAUGUUCGCAUCUUAAAAUUAGGUAAAUGACCUCAUCUUUCAAGCUCGAAUUCAUUUUUAGUUUUAAUUUGAUUUUAUACAAUGUAUAGACAGUUCCCUGUUCUCUGCGUUUAGAAGUAUAAACAAUAUAAAUCUGUUAAUUCUGUAAAUAAUAUUUGUAAUUAUGAUGUAACGCUAUCCUAUCCUUAAAACAUUUAAAA